UUUUGUUUGUACAGUGUAUGU
rnacentral:misc_RNA from 1 species